rnacentral:misc_RNA from 1 species
UGUUUGCAAGGAAGUUUAAUGUUUACCAAUAUAAACACGUAAAUUUACAUGUGUAAUAUUAUUAUUUUCAAAGAAGACAUCCUUUUUAGUUACAUUGGAUACAACAGUUAAUAAUAUACAUGUCACUUGAUCGUGUAAAUAUUACUUAGAAAACAUAUGUGAUAGUAUAUUUUUAAAAGUAUCACCAUAAACGUGUGGGAAUGGGCAAUUGUUUGUGCAAAGAUACACCACAAGAACUUUAUGUAUUUUAUGGACAAAAUCAUGCAGGGACUGAAAAUACUAUAUCAUCAGAAUCAGUUGUAGGUUGCACAGUUGCAUCUGGUGAUAUGACCAAUACAACAUUUAAGUUUCCAACGUCAGCUAACAUUGAUAAACUAGUGCUUGAAACUCUGGGAGUCAUUGGUUCUCUUGUUGACAAUGAACAGGAGACACCACCUGCAAUGUUAAAGUUACAUGCUAUUGCUGACAAAGAAGAUGGAUGGUUACAAGUUGUCAGUUCGAUGGUCAAUGUUAUUCCUAUGCAUAAUCCAUUAGGUCCUUCAGUCAUUACUCUUCUAUUAGAUGAUUGUCCAUUACCAUCAAAGGAAUUAGUUCUACGAUUGUCACACAUGUUUCAAUUAUUUCAAAAACUUGGAAAUGUACAAACCAGUGCAACCCAACAACGUAACAUCUGUGUGGUAUUGGGUUGUAUAGCAGACAAGUUAGCUGGCCCAAGUAGCAUUGCUAUAUUAUCUGAUGAAACUUUGGAUUAUCUUAUUUCAAAUCUUAGGGAAGAUAUUGAUCCUUAUGUGGUAUUAUAUUCAUUAAUAGCAUUGGAGAAAUUUGCACAAACGAGUGAGAAUAAAAUAACUAUAAAAAAACGUCUAAUGGCAGGAAGGCCAAACCCACUGUUAGAAUUGGAAAAAUGGGCAACAGAAACUCAUUACGUACGUCGUCAAGUGGGAUUUUGUGCGCGAUGGUGUUUAGACAACUUACUUAUAAUGGAAGGUAGAAAGUAUUCUCAUGAUGCAGUUGAUAUGACUGGUAUCAAUGUAAUGUUAAAUACAAAGGAUGUAAGCGAGUACCUGAAAAUAUCACCUAAUGGUUUGGAAGCCCGGUGUGAUGCAUACUCAUUUGAAAGUGUAAGAUGCACGUUUCAAGUAGACUCAGGAAUUUGGUACUAUGAAACACUUGUUAUAACUACAGGUGUAAUGCAAAUUGGAUGGGCUACAAAAGACAGUACAUUUUUAAAUUAUGAAGGAUAUGGUAUAGGUGAUGAUGAAUAUUCUUUAGCCUAUGAUGGUUGUCGCCGUUUAAUUUGGUAUAACGCAAAGAGCGAAAAAUAUCAUGAUAGACCGUGUUGGAAAGCCGGUGACAUUUUAGGUUGUUUAUUAGACUUGAACAAAUUAGAAAUAAUAUUCUCCAUAAAUGGUGUACCAUUAAAACCAUGUGUUCAAGUUUUCAAGACGGUGCGGUCUGGAUUUUUUGCAGCAGCCAGUUUUAUGUCAUUCCAGCAAUGUCUUUUUAAUUUUGGAAAUGUACCUUUUAAAUAUCCUCCGACUGAUCGUGAAUAUCAGAAAUUUAAUGAUUAUGCUAGUUUGAAGCCUGAAGAUAAGGUUGUGCUUCCUAGACACAUAUAUCUAGACCAGUUGAGAAAACUUAGUGUUAGAGAGGAUUCAUGUACAUUGUGUUUUGACCAAAGAGCUUCAGUAAGAUUCCUACCGUGCAAUCACAGAGGAUUUUGCAAGACGUGUUCGAAUCAGCUGCUUGAGUGUCCAAUGUGUAGAGCUACAAUCGAAGAGGUAGCUUCCGAUAACACAUGACACUACACGAACGUAUCAGCAUUUCUUAAUCCUCUUCCACUAUCUUUCUUAUAUUAUAUGAUUCUCAGGAACUGUCGCGAGUAUUUUAAAUCAAGAGAAGGACUACAACUCAAUCACAGAAAGCAAAAUCACAUUUAAAUGUAUCACACCUCUAAGAUAUAUCAUUCUAAAUGUUACAUUCAUAUAUAUAGAUAUAACAUACAAAUUAUCGUAUUGUAAAUUCAAAUUACAGAAGAAUAUCAUCUUAUAUC